UCUAUCGGAUCGUUUUAGAAACAUCAGUGGCCAACAAUCGUCAGGAUUGUUGAGCUGCAUUGGCGGGAUUUCGCCGUCUUCGUUUCUCUUUCUUCGCGGACGAACACGCGCCAGGGGCUUAGCGCUGUGCGAAGGUUUGGCGCUUGUGCGAUGCAUUGGCGUGAGCCGAUUGCACGCGAGCUUGAGUCCCUCGUGUUAGGGGCUUGUAGCUCAGUUGGUUAGAGCGCGCGCUUGAUAAGCGUGAGGUCGGAAGUUCAAGUCUUCCCAGGCCCACCACUUUGAUCGAGUGCGGAGCAUUCGUCUUCUGGUACGGGGCCAUAGCUCAGCUGGGAGAGCGCGUGCUUUGCAAGCAUGAGGUCGUCGGUUCGAUCCCGUCUGGCUCCACCAGAUGAAAUCGAAGAUCGGGAAUGCCUCGAAUAAUCGUCCGCGAAACAUCACUUCGCAUGCGCAGUCCGGAUGGAUAGCGUCAUGCGUGAUAUCUGACAUCGUAAAGAGGAGAUCGAUCCGAGUUUGGGAUCUGCAAAGCAAUUUGCGGGCUCUCAACCAUAAUCUCCAGGUCAUUUCGGCGCUCGCUCAUCGCAAGAUGUGUGAGUUGUAAAUGAUCUUUGUAGCGAAGCUUGACCGCCUCGCUAUCGGUUCGAUCUUACGAAGCAAGCUGGUCUUUCUAAUCAGUGUCCGGCUGUUGCAAUCGCAUUCAUCGAGGAUGCGUGCCUUCAAUGGCUGUUGCGCAGACAACAUUCUGCCGAGUGUGUGGACAUUGAUAAUGAGAGCAAUCAAGUGCCUUAAGGGUGUUCGGUGGAUGCCUUGGCGCUGAGAGGCGAUGAAGGACGUGCUACGCUGCGAUAAGCCAUGGGGAGCUGCGAAGAAGCUUUGAUCCAUGGAUUUCCGAUGGG
rnacentral:misc_RNA from 1 species